rnacentral:rRNA from 1 species
UAGCGGCAGGCUUAACACAUGCAAGUCGAGGGGCAGCGGGGAGGAAGCUUGCUUUCUCCGCCGGCGACCGGCGCACGGGUGAGUAACACGUAUGCAACCUGCCCCUGUCAGGGGGACAACCCGCCGAAAGGCGGGCUAAACCCGCGUACAUGCCACCGGGGCAUCCCGGAGCCAGGAAAGGCUUCGGCCGGACAGGGAUGGGCAUGCGGCGCAUUAGGCAGUAGGCGGGGUAACGGCCCACCUAACCGACGAUGCGUAGGGGUUCUGAGAGGAAGGUCCCCCACACUGGUACUGAGACACGGACCAGACUCCUACGGGAGGCAGCAGUGAGGAAUAUUGGUCAAUGGUCGGGAGACUGAACCAGCCAAGCCGCGUGAGGGAGGAAGGUACAGAGUAUCGUAAACCUCUUUUGUCAGGGAACAAAGGCGGGGACGUGUCCCCGGAUGAGUGUACCUGAAGAAAAAGCAUCGGCUAACUCCGUGCCAGCAGCCGCGGUAAUACGGAGGAUGCGAGCGUUAUCCGGAUUUAUUGGGUUUAAAGGGUGCGCAGGCGGUCUGUUAAGUCAGCGGUCAAAGCCCGGGGCUCAACCCCGGCCCGCCGUUGAAACUGGCAGUCUCGAGUUGGAGAGAAGUAUGCGGAAUGCGCGGUGUAGCGGUGAAAUGCAUAGAUAUCGCGCAGAACUCCGAUUGCGAAGGCAGCAUGCCCGGCUCCACACUUGACGCUGAGGCACGAAAGCGUGGGGAUCGAACAGGGAUUAGAUACCCUGGUAGUCCACGCAGUAAACGAUGAAUGCUGGCUGUCCGGGGGGAUUGACCCCUGGGUGGCGAAGCGAAAGCGAUAAGCAUUCCACCUGGGGAGUACGCCGGCAACGGUGAAACUCAAAGGAAUUGACGGGGGCCCGCACAAGCGGAGGAACAUGUGGUUUAAUUCGAUGAUACGCGAGGAACCUUACCCGGGCUCAAACGGGGAGUGACUCAGGCAGAGACGCCUGUUUCCCACGGGACACUCCCCGAGGUGCUGCAUGGUUGUCGUCAGCUCGUGCCGUGAGGUGUCGGCUUAAGUGCCAUAACGAGCGCAACCCCCGCGUGCAGUUGCUAACAGAUAACGCUGAGGACUCUGCACGGACUGCCGGCGCAAGCCGCGAGGAAGGCGGGGAUGACGUCAAAUCAGCACGGCCCUUACGUCCGGGGCGACACACGUGUUACAAUGGGUGGUACAGCGGGAAGCCAGGCGGCGACGCCGAGCGGAACCCGAAAUCCACUCUCAGUUCGGAUCGGAGUCUGCAACCCGACUCCGUGAAGCUGGAUUCGCUAGUAAUCGCGCAUCAGCCAUGGCGCGGUGAAUACGUUCCCGGGC